UUGGUGAACCAGCGGAGGGAUCAUUACCGAGUUUACAACUCCCAAACCCCAUGUGAACAUACCUGUUUCGUUCCCUCGGCGGUGUCCGGCAACGGCCCGCCAGAGGACCCAACAAACUCUUUUGAAUUUUUCAGUAUCUUCUGAGUAAAAAAAACAAUAAAUCAAAACUUUCAACAACGGAUCUCUUGGUUCUGGCAUCGAUGAAGAACGCAGCGAAAUGCGAUAAGUAAUGUGAAUUGCAGAAUUCAGUGAAUCAUCGAAUCUUUGAACGCACAUUGCGCCCGCCAGUAUUCUGGCGGGCAUGCCUGUUCGAGCGUCAUUUCAACCCUCAAGCACCUUCGGGAGCUUGGUGUUGGGGAUCGGCAGGGCGUCCUCCGGGUCGCGCCGUCCCCCAAAUCUAGUGGCGGUCUCGCUGUAGCUUCCUCUGCGUAGUAAUACACCUCGCUCUGGAGUCUCGGUGCGGCCACGCCGUAAAACCCCCAACUUUUUUCUGGUUGACCUCGAAUCAGGUAGGACUACCCGCUGAACUUAA
rnacentral:rRNA from 1 species